rnacentral:misc_RNA from 1 species
CCGAGUUUACAACUCCCAAACCCAGUGUGAACGUUACCAAACUGUUGCCCUCGGCGGGGUCACGCCCCGGGUGCGUAAAAGCCCCGGAACCAGGCGCCCGCCGGAGGAACCAACCAAACUCUUUCUGUAGUCCCCUCGCGGACGUAUUUCUUACAGCUCUGAGCAAAAAUUCAAAAUGAAUCA